rfam:Pseudoxanthomonas spadix BD-a59, complete genome.
AGGCUCCCUGCAUGUUUGCUGGCGCUGCCGGCAGCAUCCCAGGCAGUCGAGACCUUCAAGACUGCAACGCGGUUCGCCGCGUCGGUCGUUCCUCAUCCCCGGGCGCAUGUCGCGUCCAUCACCCACAAGGGACUUUCCUCCCUUGCGGGCGG